rnacentral:rRNA from 1 species
GGGGUCAGUAGGUUGGUCGUGCCACCGGUACGUACUGGUCUCACUGAUUCCUCCUUCCUGAAGAACCGUAAUGCCAUUAAUUUGGUGUUGCGGGGAAACAGGACUGUUACUUUGAAAAAAUUAGAGUGUUUAAAGCAAGCUAACGAUUGAAUACAUUAGCAUGGAAUAAUGAAAUAGGACGAUCGAUCCUAUUUUGUUGGUUUCUAGGAUUGACGUA